GUAACAAGGUUUCCGUAGGUGAACCUGCGGAAGGAUCAUUUGCACAUUCCUAACAACAUUAAUCUUUCACGACUUUGUGAGCUGUGGUGGGGUUCCUAGGCUUUAGGUUCUGCAUCAUUUGCUCGUGGGUGGCAUGGCUUGCUUCUGCAAGCGCUUUCAUGCUGCUGUGUUGAUGACCUUUUGUUGAUUGCUUGUACUUGUUUCUUGCAUUGAACUUGAAUGUGAAAUGUGUUUUUGCAAUGAAUGUCUUAGCUCAAUUGAUGAUGAAGAAUGCAGCAAAAUGUGAUAUGCAUUGUGAAUUGCAGAAUUCCGUGAGCCAAUAGAUGUUUGAACGUAAUUUGCACCUUCGGGAUAUGCUUGAAGGUGUGCUUGAUUCAAUGUCAAUUAACUUCCAACAUUGAAUUUGCUGUUCAGCAACGUUGUGAGCUGUGUGUGUCAAUGCUGUUGCAUUGGACACCCGCGCUUGCGAAUGCAUUGCAACCUCAUUGUGUUUGCUUAGGUCUAGCCUUUGUCACUUGCAUUGGUUGCAUAGUAUUUGUCUGGGUAGCUGAACAGCGUAAACUUAACAUGAAGUGAAGCAUGUAAACCCGCUGAAUUUAAGCAUAUAAGUAGGCGGUGGAAAAUGAACCAAAUGGGAUUCCUUAAGUAAUUGCGAAUGAACAAGGAAAUGCUCAGCUUGAAAAAUGGGGCCUUUGGCUUUGAAUUGUAAUUUUGAAAUGUAUUGCCAAUGGAGGCGCAGGUGCAAGCCUAUUGAAAGAAAGCGUCAAUGAGGGUGAGAUUCCUUUUUGUCAUUUGCAGUCCUCCGUGCACGGUAUAUAUUUGACGAGUCACACUCCUCGGCAUUGGAAUGCAAAGUGGGUGGUAAAUUCCAUGUAAAGGUAAAUAUAUUAUUGAGACUGAUAGCAAACAAGUACCAUGAGGGAAAUAUGAAAAGGACUUUGAAAAGAGAAUUAAAAGAGUCUGCAUUUGCUGAACAGAAAGCAAACAGAAUUGAUUUUACUUGGUGAGAUUGUUGUGCUUACUCUAUCAUUUAUAUGGUUGAUGUGGGUGCGAUGGUUCUUACCUUGAAUGUCAGCUUCUAUUUCUGCAAAUCAUUACCCUUGCACAUGAAUGGUAACUUGCCUGCGGGUAUUGGAAUGCAUGUGUUUGCAAUGAUUUGUGAUUUGACGCAUGUGUUUGGUGAAAUUUGUAUAUGCUCUUUUGUCGAAGGGGAAAGCUUACUUUUUUGAGCAUUGCAAGCCCUUACACAUCAGUGCUGGCAAAAUGUUUCUGCUUGACCCGUCUUGAAACACGGACCAAGGAGUCUAACAGAUGUGCAAGUUCGUGGGUGGCAAACCUUUUUGCGCAAUGAAAGUAUUGGCUGGGAUACUUGCACCAGCAGCCGACCAAUUAGCAGACAGAGGUUUGAGUUUGAGCAUAUCUAUUAGGACCCGAAAGAUGGUGAACUAUGCCUGAACAGAAUGAAUUCAGAGGAAACUCUGAUGGAGGUUCGUAUCGAUACUGACGUGCAAAUCGUUCGU
rnacentral:rRNA from 1 species